rnacentral:rRNA from 1 species
GACGAACGCUGGCGGCGGGCUUAACACAUGCAAGUCGAACGGAAAGGCCCUGCUUUUGUGGGGUGCUCGAUUGGCGAACGGGUGAGUAACACGUGAGUAACCUGCCCUUGACUUUGGGAUAACUUCAGGAAACUGGAGCUAAUACCGGAUAGGAUCUCCUGCUGCAUUGUGGGGGUUGGAAAGUUUCGGCGGUUGGGGAUGGACUCGCGGCUUAUCAGCUUGUUGGUGGGGUAGGUGCUUACCAAGGCUUUGACGGGUAGCCCGCCUGAGAGGGUGACCGGCGACCUUGGGACUGAGAUACGGCGCAGACUCGUACGGGAGGCAGCAGUGGGGAAUCUUGCACAAUGGGACGAAGCCUGAUGCAGAAACCUUGCGUGCGGGAUGACGGUCUUUGGGUUGUAAAACGCUUUCGCCUGUGACGACGCGUGAGUGACGGUACCGGGUAAAGAAGCACCGGCUAACUACGUG